AAUAAAAUAUUUGAAAUUAUGCAGUGUGUUCUCUGACCACCAUGGAAACAACCUAAAAACAAGUAACAGAAAGAUAAAGGAAAAUCUC